AGAAAAGCCCACUGGAUUUGGAAAUCGAGUUCUGCACUUAGCUUUCCGGAGGUAGUAACCACAGACUGAGUUGAGACGGGAAUCCGCAACCGGACUCAUGUAAACUCAAACCAGAGAGUCUCCGCCUCUUUUCAAUGACGGCACUCUCAUUACCAUCGAAAGAACAAAAACAAUUCGUCUCCGACCACUCUCUCCGUUUCAAGUGCUGGGAAUUGACAGCAGCUAGGUGACUAUCUCAAAAUUCCUGCUGCAAUGUUUACUAGCACUUAGCUGUUCUCUCGGUGGUAGGCUCUGCUAGCUUCGGGAAGUGAACAAGUCCAAGCGAGCAGAUUUGUUAAGAAUGAAGCUGAGAAAAAUGUCCAGAAACAGGACUAUAGAAGUUUGAAACUUGAUUCUGCAAACAGGAGAAACUUGUGCACGUGGACACCCAGGUCUUAUUGAGCAUUCCCCACUUCCAAAUAAUAAUGUGCCUUCCUAUGUUUGACACCAAAGUGACUAAUAGCGAUGAGUUGGGGUAUGGGGAAGCAAAAUUUACAGGUGAGUGAUUUUUAUUCUGUAUUUUUCU